AUGUUUCCACAGCGAGUCACUGAUCAGCGCGCUGCUGUUGGCAGGUUUAGUUGAGGUUAGGGUGGUCUGUCGAGGAGCUCCCGCCCCCUGCGACUUGUCCACCGGUCUGCGGGGGAGUUGAGCCUGGUUGUAAACCUCCACACGGUGCGGUUCUCAGAGUAAUGGCUGUCUACAAGAAGACGGUAAGAAAAGCGUUUCAGUGAAAUAAUACCUUCUGUUUUAAAAUGUUUGUUAAAAGAAAACGAGAGAGAGAGAGAGAGAGAGAGAGAGAUGCUUUGGCUUUUUGGUUUUUCCUUUUCAGCUGCAGACCAUCGCAGUCAUUUGAUCAGAGCGGAGGGCAGCCAAAGGCCUCAGUAUCUUGAGGAUUACAACACAAAAAGGCACAGUGUGACUGUUCCCUAUGAGCCGCCCCAGCCGGGCUCAGAGAUCACCACAAUCCUGUUCAACUUCAUGUGCAACAGCUCCUGCAUGGGAGGCAUGAACCGCAGGACCCAUCCUCACCAUCCUGACCCUUGAGACUUCAGACGGACAACUUUUGGGCCGAAGAUGCUUCGAGGUGCGUGUCUGCGCGUGUCCCGGCAGGGAUCGUAAAACAGAGGAGGCAAAUAGUGCCAAACUGCAGACAGGGGCCAAACAAGUGAAGAAAAGAAAAAGUGCCCCAGCAACAGAUCCUGAUAUGUGCAAAAGGAAGUCUGGCUCAAGCACAGACGAGGAGGAAGUAUUUAUGUUGCCAGUUAAAGGCCGUGAGCGCUAUAACAUGUUAAAAAAGAUAAAUGAUGCAUUAGAACUGGCUGAAAAAGAGGCUAAAAACAAAACCAGGGCUUCUAAGGAACUGCUGCCGUCCAGUGGAAAGCGCGUCUUGCAAAAAGCAGAACGAAGCGACAGCGACUAGUUGCAAUCUGCCUUCUUUUAACCGCCAUGUACGAGUUAUGUUCAGUGUUGCUUCCUGGCCAACAUCCCUCAGCAGGAGGCUGCACGAUCAUCGAGUUCAGAUGAACUGCGCGACCCCAGCCCCCCUGUACCUCCCCGUCCCUCGUCCUGCCGGGGUCCGGCGCGACCCCAGCCCACGGAACUUCCCCGUCCCUCGUCCUGCCGGGGUCCGGCGCGACCCCUGCCCACGGAACCUCCCCGUCCCUCGUCCUGCCGGGGUCCGGCGCGACCCCAGCCCCCUGUACCUCCCCGUCCCGCAUCCUCCCGGGGUCAGGCGCUACCCCAGCCCCCUGUACCUACCCGUCAGGCGUCUUGCCGGGGUCCGGCGCGACCCCAUUUUUUUUGUUUUUUAUUUUUCCUUCUCCUUUCCUCCCCUUUACCUCCACCCGUGCCACAGGCCCACUGAUGAUGAACAUGAUGAUGAUGACGAACAUGAUGAUGAUGAUGAUGAUGAUGAUGAUGAUGAUGAUGAUUAUGCAAGCAGACAGCUGCGUGCAAGGGCUGACCAUUUUAAACGAAAAAUAAAACAGACCAAACAGGCAAAAACAUUUGAUUAAAUGCCAAAAGUUUAUUUAAUAAUAUAAAACAGUUAUGAAAUAAAGGAGUACAAGGCG